GACGAACGCUGGCGGCGUGCUUAACACAUGCAAGUCGAGCGGUAAGGCCCUUUCGGGGGUACACGAGCGGCGAACGGGUGAGUAACACGUGGGUGACCUGCCCUCAGCUCUGGGAUAAGCCUGGGAAACCGGGUCUAAUACCGGAUAUGACUCCAUGACGCAUGUUGUGGGGUGGAAAGCCUUGUGCGGCUGAGGAUGGGCCCGCGGCCUAUCAGCUUGUUGGUGGGGUGAUGGCCUACCAAGGCGACGACGGGUAGCCGGCCUGAGAGGGCGACCGGCCACACCGGGACUGAGACACGGCCCAGACUCCUACGGGAGGCAGCAGUGGGGAAUCUUGCGCAAUGGGCGAAAGCCUGACGCAGCGACGCCGCGUGAGGGAUGACGGCCUCGGUU
rnacentral:rRNA from 1 species